rnacentral:rRNA from 1 species
GGCGAACGCUGGCGGCAGGCCUAACACAUGCAAGUCGAACGAACCUUUCGGGGUUAGUGGCGGACGGGUGAGUAACACGUGGGAACGUGCCUUUAGGUUCGGAAUAACUCAGGGAAACUUGUGCUAAUACCGAAUGUGCCCUUCGGGGGAAAGAUUAAUCGCCUUUAGAGCGGCCCGCGUCUGAUUAGCUAGUUGGUUGAGGUAAUGGCUCACCAAGGCGACGAUCAGUAGCUGGUCUGAGAGGAUGAUCAGCCACAUUGGGACUGAGACACGGCCCAAACUCCUACGGGAGGCAGCAGUGGGGAAUCUUGCGCAAUGGGCGAAAGCCUGACGCAGCCAUGCCGCGUGAAUGAUGAAGGUCUUAGGAUUGUAAAAUUCUUUCACCGGGGACGAUAAUGACGGUACCCGGAGAAGAAGCCCCGGCUAACUUCGUG